GAUGAAGAACGCAGCAAAAUGCGAUAAGUAAUGUGAAUUGCAGAAUUCAGUGAAUCAUCGAAUCUUUGAACGCACAUUGCGCCCGCUGGUAUUCCGGCGGGCAUGCCUGUUCGAGCGUCAUUUCAACCCUCAAGCCCCCGGGUUUGGUGUUGGGGAUCGGCUCUGCCCUUCUGGGCGGUGCCGCCCCCGAAAUACAUUGGCGGUCUCGCUGCAGCCUCCAUUGCGUAGUAGCUAACACCUCGCAACUGGAACGCUGCGCGGCCAUGCCGUAAAACCCCAACUUCUGAAUGUUGACCUCGGAUCAGGUAGGAAUACCCGCUGAACUUAAGCAUAUCAAUAGCGGAGGA
rnacentral:misc_RNA from 1 species